UGGGGAAUAUUGCACAAUGGGCGCAAGCCUGAUGCAGCCAUGCCGCGUGUGCGAAGAAGGCCUUCGGGUUGUAAAGCACUUUCAGCGAGGAGGAAGGGUAGUGUGUUAAUAGCACAUUGCAUUGACGUUACUCGCAGAAGAAGCACCGGCUAACUCCGUGCCAGCAGCCGCGGUAAUACGGAGGGUGCAAGCGUUAAUCGGAAUUACUGGGCGUAAAGCGCACGCAGGCGGUUUGUUAAGUCAGAUGUGAAAUCCCCGCGCUUAACGUGGGAACUGCAUUUGAAACUGGCAAGCUAGAGUCUUGUAGAGGGGGGUAGAAUUCCAGGUGUAGCGGUGAAAUGCGUAGAGAUCUGGAGGAAUACCGGUGGCGAAGGCGGCCCCCUGGACAAAGACUGACGCUCAGGUGCGAAAGCGUGGGGAGCAAACA
rnacentral:rRNA from 1 species